ACACAAGAUUGUGUCAAGUUUAAAUUUACAAGUGCUGGGGAGACAUUGAAAAUCUACCAGCCGGCGCGAGUCACACGUGACGAGUCUGGUUGAUCUCCUUCCAUCUCCUCCAUAGAUUCUCUCUAAUGAUGUGAGAUUUAAGUUUGCUCGCACAUUUUGCCGCUUUUCGCACGCAAGAACAAAGUGUCGUCGAUCGUGGCGUUGGAAGCGAUCGCUUUUGGUCAACGGUUUGCCCUGCGGUCGCGGUACCGUCACCCAGUGGUCGGCCAGUGGUACAGCGGUGAGAACUCCUACGACGCCGCGUUGUCGUGCUGUAUAGAAAGAUCCGUAUUUGCCAUGCUGGAGCACGUAUUUUUCAACAAAAAACAUUGAGUAUAGCGUCCCGAUAGAACUGCUCAAAAAUGUGUUUAUUCAUUGG